CAGUAGCCGCGGGAAAACAGAGGGUGCGAGCGUUAAUCGGAUUUACUGGGCGUAAAGCGUGCGUAGGCGGCUUUUUAAGUCGGAUGUGAAAUCCCUGAGCUUAACUUAGGAAUUGCAUUCGAUACUGGGAAGCUAGAGUAUGGGAGAGGAUGGUAGAAUUCCAGGUGUAGCGGUGAAAUGCGUAGAGAUCUGGAGGAAUACCGAUGGCGAAGGCAGCCAUCUGGCCUAAUACUGACGCUGAGGUACGAAAGCAUGGGGAGCAAACAGGAUUAGAUACCCCAGAGUCCUGUCUCUUAUACAC
rnacentral:rRNA from 1 species